CAUCCAAAUAGGUAUUGUUACUGCUACCAUUUUUCUUCUCUUCCCCAAUAUUUUUUAAAACCCUAAUUUUUUUUUUUGCCAAAAGUCUGCUUUUCUGCAGACAUGAACGAUUUUACACGUCACCCUCUCUUGUCAUUUCCAAUUUUCUGUUCCUUCCCACACAAUCCUAUCAUCUCUCUCAACUUGUUUUAUAGAUCUCAGUUUCUCUCCAUAACUGCUUGACUUUUCCAUCCCACAACAAACUUCUCUUCCAAAAAUAUUCUGCUUUUAACUUCACUAUGGCUAGACCUUUUGAGAAAUUGAAGGACAUCAAUGAAACCAAGAAACUCUAGAAAAUUGCUAUCAAAAUCCAUCACACAUAGACAGUUUUAUCGAAGACCAAAGAGCACUUCAAGAUGAUUAUGCACGACAAAGAGAAGAAAUGAUGUUUAAGAGAAGAAACAAGUGGAUCUGCUUCAUCAAGCUAUCCUAUGUUAUUCAAGAGUCAUUUGUUGUUACGAAAUUUGGAGAGAAUUCCAACUAGAAGUUGAGAAAUAAUCUUCAUAUAGUUGGGAGUAACAUCAAAAGCACAUUAUUGUUAUGAUUAAUCUUUUUUAUUAUGUAGGACUUAAUACUCUCCAUUAUUUUCUGUGGCAUUUUAAUUUUUCACACUGUAGUGUCCAGUUUUCUAUUCAAUGAAAUCGCCGGAGGUUCAAGUGAUGGAAGCGAUAACUUCGGCAGCGACAAUAACAACACUGGCUGCUGGCUAACAGUUGGUCUGAUGGAUGCAUAUAGUAGCGAGUGGCAGCGACAAUUUCGGCAACGUUAACAACAACAAUAACACCAACUUAUUUUGUGUCUGCAGUGAUUUUGGAGUUAUUUCACUCAUAUAUAAAAAGGUAGUGCUUGAACCAACAUUAUGUAUGCGCAAUUGUGUUUUGAUCUUUACAAAAAGUUACCCAUAUUCCCAUAUGAAGAACUUGUUGGCAAAUAAAUAACUUUUAAGAGAGUAUUGUUGAAUAAAAGCCAAGAAGCUUUUGAAUAUGAAGGACUUAAUUAUGUUGUAGAGGUGGUAUAAAGUAUAUUUAUGUAGGACUGUUUCUAAGUUUAUAUUAAUUUUUUUGUAGUUUUUGUUAUACAGUUUGUGUUGUGUGAAACUGGCUUUUUGUUAUUAGUAACAAAAUGCAGCAACAUUUAUAUCUCAUGAAUGGCUUUUGGAAGACGAAUGUAAGGUGUGUGCCUUUGUCAUCAUAAAUAAAUAAAUCAAUCAUCUUAUCUAAUGAAAUUAAUGGAACUGAUGCACAAUACUUCAUGUGAUGGAUGAAUCUAGUCUCUGAACCUAUAGGAGCUGAAACCAUAUAACUUGGGUUUGAAGAAAUUAAACAUGAAAAAUAUAUUUUCACAAAUUAAUUAAUUAAUUAAUAAAAAUUAUCAACUAAAUACAUUAAAAUAUAAAUAGGGUUUAUUAAUAUUUUUUGGGAAGAAUAUAAAUAUGUCGUUAAUUAUUUAGAUGCGUUGGUCUGGUGUAAGAAUAUAAUAAUAAAGUGUAUUUUUCAACCAUUGAAUUACAUUGAAUUUUUUGAGAACAUAAACGGAUAAAUGUGAAGAAAUCUUUAUGCAAGGAAAUGUGCAAUGGAGUGUCAUCAUGUUUUAAGUGGUCAAAU